ACUUGCUAUGACGAUGGGCCUCAGCCCUUCCCAGAGCGGUGCAGAAGCCCCAGGGAUAGCCGGGCAGCAGGGACUGCUCCCGCUGUGCCCAAAGCACGGCUUCAUUCUCACCCUACUCUUAGGGAACCGUAAGGGGAGAAGGGGGGAGGGGAGCGUCCGUGAAGACUCGGCCUCCGCCAGCCGCGAGUAAUGAUAACCAACUCCAGAAUGGAGUAUGAUCCCAGGCCCGUCGGCGAAGCCCCUCCCCGAGGACCCAGGGCCGGAAGGGAGGGCGCAUGUCGUCUUCCCCGGGUUCCCUAGGGUGCCUCAUCACCGUCCGAACCGCCUUCAGGUCCGCCGCUAUCCCAGGAUUCCCGCCGCCGCCUCCGCCUCCUCCCGGCAGAGCGUCUGCGGGACCUGCAAGAUGGCGGACGGCGGCGGCGGGGCGGCGGCGGCCUCGGCGGCGCCCACUCCUCCCCCUCCCGAGGGCCGGGGCUCGCGCGCUGGCUGGACGCAGCGCCUGCGGGCCGCGCUAGCAGGGGCCGGCGUCUCGCUGUGGGUCGUGGCCGGCCUGGGGCUGCUCUACGCCUUGAGGGCGCCCCUGAGGCUGUGUGAGAACCUGGCGGCGGUGACAGCAUUUUUAAAUUCUUUGACUCCAAAAUUCUAUGUGGCACUAACAGGGACGUCAUCUCUAAUAUCUGGACUAAUAUUUAUAUUUGAAUGGUGGUACUUCCGCAAGUAUGGUACAUCAUUUAUUGAGCAAGUAUCUAUAAGCCAUUUGCGGCCACUCAUUGGAGGGACAGAGAAUAAUGUUCCAGAGCCAGGUUCUCCUUCUGGUGGCAGGGAAGCUGAUACCAAUAGGCAGAAUUUGUCAGAAUGCAAGGUAUGGCGAAACCCUUUAAAUCUUUUCAGAGGGGCUGAAUACAGAAGAUAUACAUGGGUGACGGGCAAGGAACCACUUACAUAUUAUGACAUGAACUUGUCAGCUCAGGAUCAUCAGACCUUUUUCACUUGUGAUACUGAUUCUCUACGUCCUUCAGAUACAGUGAUGCAGAAGGCAUGGCGAGAGAGAAAUCCUCCAGCUCGUAUCAAAGCAGCUUAUCAAGCUUUAGAACUGAAUAAUGACUGCGCCACUGCCUAUGUUCUGUUAGCGGAGGAGGAGGCCACUACCAUUGUGGACGCUGAGAAGUUGUUUAAACAGGCCCUCAGAGCUGGGGAGACAAUUUACAGGCGGUCACAGCAGCACCAGCACCAGAGUCCUCAGCACGAAGCCCAACUUAGAAGAGACACUAAUGUAUUGGUUUAUAUUAAGCGAAGACUAGCAAUGUGUGCGAGAAAAUUAGGAAGAAUAAGAGAAGCAGUAAAAAUAAUGAGAGAUCUAAUGAAAGAGUUUCCUCCUCUUAGUAUGUUGAACAUCCAUGAAAAUCUCCUAGAAUCCCUUCUAGAAUUACAGGCUUAUGCAGAUGUUCAGGCAGUUCUAGCAAAAUAUGAUGAUAUCAGUCUUCCAAAGUCAGCAGCAAUUUGUUAUACAGCAGCACUAUUGAAGACAAGGACUGUGUCAGAUAGAUUUUCUCCAGAAACAGCAUCUAGAAGAGGACUGAGCACUGCAGAAAUUAAUGCUGUGGAAGCAAUUCAUAGAGCAGUGGAAUUUAACCCUCAUGUUCCAAAAUACUUACUUGAAAUGAAAAGUUUAAUAUUGCCCCCAGAACAUAUUCUGAAACGGGGGGACAGUGAGGCAGUUGCCUAUGCUUUCUUUCAUCUUCAGCACUGGAAGCGAAUAGAAGGUGCCCUUAAUCUGUUGCAGUGUACGUGGGAAGGCACCUUUAGAAUGAUCCCAUACCCAUUAGAGAAAGGCCAUCUAUUUUACCCUUAUCCCAGCUGCACAGAGACAGCCGACAGAGAACUAUUACCCACAUUUCAUCAUGUUUCUGUUUACCCAAAGAAGGAGCUUCCUUUUUUCAUUCACUUCACAGCAGGCCUGUGUUCCUCUACAGCAAUGCUUGCCCUUCUCACCCAUCAAUUUCCUGAAAUCAUGGGUGUUUUUGCUAAAGCUUUUUGAAUAAAGAUAUGAAUGCCAAGUGUUGCCCUCCCUGAGUGGUCACUAAAAGAAGGUCCUUCUGGAUGUAUAAUUUUCUCCAGAGCAAAAUUAAUUUUUGAUCCUGGCUUUAUUUGACAAGAUACCAGUGGAAGAAGAAAUGAGUUUCUCAGAUCUUCACCACAGUCUGGGGAUAAAAGGUAGGCUCAUUUUUCUGUUGGGAAGUUGGAGCUCCAAAUCAUGCAUCUAUUCAGAGGCACACGGCCAUUUAUUCUUUAUUAUUAUUUUGGGGGUUACAUUUUCUAAAAUUUAAUUUUGCCCAUCCCUUACCCCACUGGCGAGGGCCUCCAUUUGACACCGAUUUAUAAAUAUAUGUAAAAUUGUACUAUUUGUUGUGAUUCUUAGCAAUUUUAUUUUAACUGCAUUAUUAGCUGUACUGGUAAAUUUCUUUUAAAGCUUAUCUCAGUUUUUCUCUUCCUUCCAAUGACCUUCAUCUCCCCUCCCCUUAAACUGCCCACCAGUACUGCCCCAUCCUAAACCUUAUCCUCACCUGGGACAGCUACACCCUAACAUUUUAAAUUAGAAAGUCCCCUGCCCUGGGUUUUGCACCUUCUUAACCUCCCUCAUACUGCACCUGUUCUUUAGUCUUCUUUUCUCCCAAUCCCUCAACCUCUGCUGGGUUCUCAUUCCUCCCUACCUAGCCUGAUCAAUUAUUUCAAUCAUAUUCUUACUGGAAUCCUAGAAUUCAUAGAGUCAUAGGAUUUGGGAGGGUGAGGAAUUGUAGUGGUCAUCAAUUCCAACUUUAUAGAUUGGACCCCAAUUCCUUCACUUUAUAGAUGUGGAAACUGGGAUCCUAGAGAGGUGAAGAAGCUUCCCUAAGGUCAUUUAGAAGCACUGAGAGUUGUACCUGGGCUCUGUGACCACAUCACGGCUUCUUUCCACUUUUUGCCAGGUUGGAUAGCCUUUCUUAGGAGCCUGCCUGGAGCCAGGAAGACCUGGAUUCAAAUGAUACCUCAGACAGAUGCUUAUUGACCCUCAGCUGUGUGAUUCUGGGCAAGUCACUGUACCCCUUUUGUCUCGGUUGCCUCAUUAAAAACGAGCUGGAGAAGGAAAUAGCAAAGCCAGUAUCUUUACCAAGAAAACCCGAAAUCCUGAAGAGUGAGACAGGACUGAAUCCGACCCAGGAACCCACAUAGCACCCCCAGGGACCUUCCACAACCAUUCCGCUUCUUAUAUUUAAUUGACUUUCUCUGCCCUCGGUACAUGAUCUGAAUAUGCUGGGGAAAAUAAUGACAUUUCCAGACCAAACAAUGCAUUUGUCUUUCCUGUUAGUAUCUACUACAAAAGAGAGAUCUAUGGCUUGGGUGAGAGAUAAAAGUGGAAAUGAGAGGGUGUGAGGCAGUAGUCCCUGGGAAAGGACAGGGGUACAAAAGGAGAAAAAAACAUCAAGGAAACAUUUUAAGAGACAAAAUCAUGUAAUCUUGCUGACUUUUUCAUUGCAAAAUUUUCCUGACUGGCUUUAGCUAAACCACUCUGUUCUGGUCCAUAGCUCUUGUUCAAUCUCAGUUUGCUAGGAUUUUCUCUAGUAGCCUCUUGAAUCCUUGUUCCUUUUCCCCAUAAUUUAUAAUUUUCUCCCUCUGUCCCCCACUUGGAAGAUUAUUUUAAAGACACAUUUCAAAUAUUGUCUUCAUCCAUCAGCUCCUCCUUCCCUAAUUAUCUCAGGAAGAAGUAAUUUCCUUGUGUUUUUUAUUCCAUUCCUAUCUGUAUUUUCUGGUACUUUAUCCUAUUAGUUAUCCCCUUUCUUAGAAAUGGAAUCUAUCUCUCCACUUGAUCCUUUUUAUUUACAAAUAUCCAUAGAUCUCCCCUAUUCUUAAAAAUAAAAUAGUACAUCUUUUGGACUGUUAUACCUUCAGGCCACUGCCCCUUUGUUGCCAAAAGCUUGCAAGAUGUAAAAUACAUUUACUACCUCUAUAGUCUCCACUUGAUUUGUUUUAUAACUCUACUGAAACUACUCUCUGAACAUUCAUCAGUAACAUUCAUUCAACAAACAUUAAGCAACCAAUAACCAUGUUAUCAAGAAUCUAUAAUGUUCUAGGUACUGUGCUGUGUGCUGGGGAUACAGAAAAUCUGUCCCGGUCCAGUACUACAUUUACAA